rnacentral:rRNA from 1 species
AGAGUUUGAUCAUGGCUCAGAUUGAACGCUGGCGGCAGGCCUAACACAUGCAAGUCGAGCGGUAACACAGAGAGCUUGCUCUCGGGUGACGAGCGGCGGACGGGUGAGUAAUGUCUGGGAAACUGCCUGAUGGAGGGGGAUAACUACUGGAAACGGUAGCUAAUACCGCAUAACGUCGCAAGACCAAAGUGGGGGACCUUCGGGCCUCAUGCCAUCAGAUGUGCCCAGAUGGGAUUAGCUAGUAGGUGGGGUAAUGGCUCACCUAGGCGACGAUCCCUAGCUGGUCUGAGAGGAUGACCAGCCACACUGGAACUGAGACACGGUCCAGACUCCUACGGGAGGCAGCAGUGGGGAAUAUUGCACAAUGGGCGCAAGCCUGAUGCAGCCAUGCCGCGUGUAUGAAGAAGGCCUUCGGGUUGUAAAGUACUUUCAGCGAGGAGGAAGGCGUUAAGGUUAAUAACCUUGGCGAUUGACGUUACUCGCAGAAGUAACUCCGUGCCAGCAGCCGCGGUAAUACGGAGGGUGCAAGCGUUAAUCGGAAUUACUGGGCGUAAAGCGCACGCAGGCGGUCUGUCAAGUCGGAUGUGAAAUCCCCGGGCUCAACCUGGGAACUGCAUUCGAAACUGGCAGGCUAGAGUCUUGUAGAGGGGGGUAGAAUUCCAGGUGUAGCGGUGAAAUGCGUAGAGAUCUGGAGGAAUACCGGUGGCGAAGGCGGCCCCCUGGACAAAGACUGACGCUCAGGUGCGAAAGCGUGGGGAGCAAACAGGAUUAGAUACCCUGGUAGUCCACGCCGUAAACGAUGUCGACUUGGAGGUUGUGCCCUUGAGGCGUGGCUUCCGGAGCUAACGCGUUAAGUCGACCGCCUGGGGAGUACGGCCGCAAGGUUAAAACUCAAAUGAAUUGACGGGGGCCCGCACAAGCGGUGGAGCAUGUGGUUUAAUUCGAUGCAACGCGAAGAACCUUACCUACUCUUGACAUCCAGAGAACUUAGCAGAGAUGCUUUGGUGCCUUCGGGAACUCUGAGACAGGUGCUGCAUGGCUGUCGUCAGCUCGUGUUGUGAAAUGUUGGGUUAAGUCCCGCAACGAGCGCAACCCUUAUCCUUUGUUGCCAGCGGUCCGGCCGGGAACUCAAAGGAGACUGCCAGUGAUAAACUGGAGGAAGGUGGGGAUGACGUCAAGUCAUCAUGGCCCUUACGAGUAGGGCUACACACGUGCUACAAUGGCAUAUACAAAGAGAAGCGACCUCGCGAGAGCAAGCGGACCUCAUAAAGUAUGUCGUAGUCCGGAUUGGAGUCUGCAACUCGACUCCAUGAAGUCGGAAUCGCUAGUAAUCGUAGAUCAGAAUGCUACGGUGAAUACGUUCCCGGGCCUUGUACACACCGCCCGUCACACCAUGGGAGUGGGUUGCAAAAGAAGUAGGUAGCUUAACCUUCGGGAGGGCGCUUACCACUUUGUGAUUCAUGACUGGGGUGAAGUCGUAACAAGGUAACCGUAGGGGAACCUGCGGUUGGAUCACCUCCUUA